UACGUAGGGAGCAAGCGUUGUUCGGAAUUACUGGGCGUAAAGGGCGCGUAGGCGGCCUGUUAAGUCGAACGUGAAAUCCCCGGGCUCAACCCGGGAACUGCGUCCGAUACUGGCAGGCUUGAAUCCGGGAGAGGGAUGCGGAAUUCCAGGUGUAGCGGUGAAAUGCGUAGAUAUCUGGAGGAACACCGGUGGCGAAGGCGGCAUCCUGGACCGGCAUUGACGCUGAGGCGCGAAAGCCAGGGGAGCAAACGGG
rnacentral:rRNA from 1 species